GUGGCCCCACAAGAGAAGGGCACAGCACCGGCAGCUCCCGGCCAUCCCCAGCAUCACGGCAGCAUUUCAGGGGGGUUCAGAGGUUAACUUGGUUCAGAAAGAAAGACAAGGCAGAGCAGAACGCUGCUCCAAAGGACACAUUUACUAGCCAAAGCAACGAUGCCCAACACUUGCACUGCUCCCCUUUGCUCCGAGCUGUUGGUAGAGCCCUCCCCAGCACUGCCGUAUGUGGGAUGGCUGCAGCAGAACCCCAUUGCGCCCGCCGCUCUCCUUCAGGUGAUUCACUUCCAUGGCUGCAGACGAGCGCUGUCGGGUCCCUGCAGGUCCCUGUGCCUCAGGGCCGGGUGUCCUUCUCACCCUUGUGGUACUCGGGCGGGGUGUACUUCCCCUCCUUGAUCAUCUUGUCCCUCUGCUCCAGGAUCUUUUUCAACCGCAGAGCCAGCUUGGUGCGGUGCAUGCACUCCAUGAAGUCCUCGUACUCGGGCUGGCACUCGCGGCGGGCGCGGGUCUGGCCCAGGCCGUGCCCGCACUCCACCCACUCCCGCUCGAAGGCGUGGCACGCCCCGGCCACCCCGUACGGCUGCGUCGUGCUCUGCCGCAGCAGCCACCGGUCCACGUCGAUGCCCAGCUGUCGCUGCAGGUCCCAGAACGGCAUGGUGCUGUCGCGACACCGACCCUGCUCCCGAAACUGACCCUACCGCGACACCUCCGUGGGCUCCAAACCGCCUCCGCUCCGCCCCUCGCCGACCGGGCCCGCCGCCGUCCUUCACGGGGCUUUCGCGACGCUGCCCGCCGUCAAGCGCGACCGCAACCG
rnacentral:lncRNA from 1 species